rnacentral:rRNA from 1 species
UAAUACGGAGGAUCCAAGCGUUAUCCGGAUUUAUUGGGUUUAAAGGGUGCGUAGGCGGCGUGCUAAGUCAGGGGUGAAAGACGGUGGCUCAACCAUCGCAGUGCCUUUGAUACUGGUGCGCUUGAAUAUACAUGAGGUAGGCGGAAUGAGACAAGUAGCGGUGAAAUGCAUAGAUAUGUCUCAGAACACCGAUUGCGAAGGCAGCUUACUAAGGUAUUAUUGACGCUGAGGCACGAAAGCGUGGGGAUCAAACAGG